UUGUGGACGCUCUUAUCUUUUGUCAAGAGUGUGCUGCUGCAGACGCUUCUUGUAGUUUCCUGACUCUCCGAUGUAAACAUUCUUGCAGUCUGCUCAAGGUAUCUAGUAAACUACACUGGGGAAACGCUCCCUGGGCAGGCAGUCCUUCACUCGCACAAGUUGAUGGCACAUCUUUUUGGGUGAAAUGUGUGCCACAUACAUGUCAUACUCACGUCGGACAUGUGCCAAACAUCCGCUUGUUCCAGAAAUAUGCGGUACAGGGGCUCGCUUCGUGGAAGCGGGGGCCAGCAGGAAGGAGAUGUGUCAAGGUGUCAUUGUCAUGACAGUUGAAUUUCACCUCUGCGCACCCCGCUUCCCACAAGAGGGUUGUUGUCAGCACGCUACUGCAGCGUGCCAAAAGAUUGGGCUCGAAGCCACAUGAUGCAGGCAUGGCAAAGGUUCAGCACAAAGUGUUGCUACAGCAGCAACAACUGCGCCUGCUACUGAGUCUGCUGCCACCUCAUAUCCUGCAGCCAGACCAACUAAAUGUGCUGCCUCUUCUGGUCCUGCAGCCUUAGCAGUCACACUGCCUUCUGUCUCUGAUGCUGACAUGUCGCAUUGUUCGUUCAGCAAGGAUGAACAGCUAAGAUAAUCAAGGAUCCACAAGGAGUAUUAUAGGUUGACCAGCCUAACGGUUGGAUGCUCUCAAGGGCCGCCUCAAAAAAGGACUUUCAUUUGGUUCAGCGGUCCACCAUCGCAAUAUGGUGGACAGAUGCCCGCGUGCAUAGGAGCUUCCUGGGAACGAACCAUUUUGCAGCAGAAGGUGGCCAGAAGCCUGCACAGCAGCCAUUGUCCCCACACAAAGUGGAAGCAUAGAGAGUCUCUUCCAGGCACUACAGUGCUGCCCAAAGCCCUUCGGAAGAGGAAGCGAAACAGGCCGCCCAGAACACCAGGCUUUUGGCUGUCCCAGAAGACAUCCAAGUUGAGGCGAGGGCAGAAAAAAUAAACAGAGAAGUCAUUUUCAUUUCCAAA